rnacentral:snoRNA from 1 species
GGGUCAGUGAUGAAGCCUUUGCAUUUGUGUAGAUAUGUGCUGACUUAAAGUUCAUGCUCAAUGGAAUUACGAUGAGACCC